rnacentral:rRNA from 1 species
AUACGGAGGACGCGAGCGUUAUCCGGAUUCAUUGGGUUUAAAGGGUGCGCAGGCAGCCGUGCAAGUCAGCGGUGAAAGCCCGGGGCUCAACCCCGGAAGUGCCGUUGAUACUGCAUGGCUGGAAUGCGGUCGAGGCGGGCGGAACGUGGGGUGUAGCGGUGAAAUGCGUAGAUAUGCCACAGAACACCGAUAGCGGAGGCAGCUCGCCAGGCCUGCAUUGACGCUCGGGCACGAAAGCGUGGGGAUCGAACAGGAUUAGAUACCCUGGUAGUCCACGCCGUAAACGAUGGGCGCUCGUCGUCGGCGGCAGACAGUCGGCGGCCAAGCGAAAGCGAUAAGCGCCCCACCUGGGGAGUACGGUCGCAAGGCUGAAACUCAAAUGAAUUGACGGGG